AGCGAACUGAUUAGAAGCUUGCUUCUAUGACGUUAGCGGCGGACGGGUGAGUAACACGUGGGCAACCUGCCUGUAAGACUGGGAUAACUCCGGGAAACCGGAGCUAAUACCGGAUAACAUUUUCUCUUGCAUAAGAGAAAAUUGAAAGAUGGUUUCGGCUAUCACUUACAGAUGGGCCCGCGGUGCAUUAGCUAGUUGGUGAGGUAACGGCUCACCAAGGCAACGAUGCAUAGCCGACCUGAGAGGGUGAUCGGCCACACUGGGACUGAGACACGGCCCAGACUCCUACGGGAGGCAGCAGUAGGGAAUCUUCCGCAAUGGACGAAAGUCUGACGGAGCAACGCCGCGUGAGUGAUGAAGGCUUUCGGGUCGUAAAACUCUGUUGUUAGGGAAGAACAAGUACAAGAGUAACUGCUUGUACCUUGACGGUACCUAACCAGAAAGCCACGGCUAACUACGUGCCAGCAGCCGCGGUAAUACGUAGGUGGCAAGCGUUAUCCGGAAUUAUUGGGCGUAAAGCGCGCGCAGGCGGUUUCUUAAGUCUGAUGUGAAAGCCCACGGCUCAAC
rnacentral:rRNA from 2 species